AAUGCACGAAAGUGCGACGGGGGGACCCCAAGUUGCUUACGCACUGCGUAGGCUUUUCUAAAGUGUAAAAAGCUUUAGGAAUAAGGGCUGGGCAAGUCCGGUG
rnacentral:rRNA from 1 species